rnacentral:rRNA from 1 species
AUUAUUAAGAAAAAUUAUAUUGUUAGUAUAUAAAUUGUAUGAAAACAAAAAAUUAUGGCGGUAUUUUAAGCUUUUCAGAGGAAUUUGCUCUUUAAUGGAUAAAACACCUAAAUCUUACUAAAUUUAGUUAAGCAGUUUGUAUACCACUAUUUAAGUAAUAAUUUGCUAUUAUUACUAAAAUUUAUAUUAAUUAAAAAAAGUUAAGUCAAGGUGCAGCAUAAAUUUUAGUAUGAAGUGAAUUACAUUUCUUUUAAGAAAAAUUUGUUGAAAAUAAAAUUUAGGAUUUGAAAGUAAAAUUAUUAAUAGAAGGAAAAUUUGAAUUAAGCUCUAAAAUAUGUAC